GGUAGCCGGAAGAAUAAGCACCGGCUAACUACGUGCCAGCAGCCGCGGUAAUACGUAGGGUGCGAGCGUUAAUCGGAAUUACUGGGCGUAAAGCGUGCGCAGGCGGUGCUGUAAGACCGAUGUGAAAUCCCCGGGCUUAACCUGGGAACUGCAUUGGUGACUGCAGCGCUGGAGUAUGGCAGAGGGGGGUGGAAUUCCACGUGUAGCAGUGAAAGCGUAGAGAUGUGGAGGAACACCGAUGGCGAAGGCAGCCCCCUGGGCCAAUACUGACGCUCAUGCACGAAGCGUGGGGAGCAAACAGGAUUAGAUACCCUGGUAGUCCACGCCCUAAACGAUGUCAACUGGUUGUUGGGGAUUCAUUUCCUUAGUAACGUAGCUAACCCGUGAAGUUGACCGCCUGGGGAGUACGGUCGCAAGUUUU
rnacentral:rRNA from 1 species